rnacentral:rRNA from 1 species
GACGAACGCUGGCGGCGUGCUUAACACAUGCAAGUCGAACGGAAAGGCCCUGCUUUUGUGGGGUGCUCGAGUGGCGAACGGGUGAGUAACACGUGAGUAACCUGCCCUUGACUUUGGGAUAACUCCAGGAAACUGGGGCUAAUACCGGAUAGGAUCUCCUGCUGCAUGGUGGGGGUUGGAAAGUUUCGGCGGUUGGGGCUGGACUCGCGGCUUAUCAGCUUGUUGGUGGGGUAGUGGCUUUCCAAGGCUUUGACGGGUAGCCGGCCUGAGAGGGUGACCGGCCACAUGGGGACUGAGGUACGGCGCAGAAGCCAACCGGAGGCAGCGGUGGGGAAUCUUGCACAGUGGGCGGGAGUCUGAUGCAGCAACGCCGCGUGCGGGAUGACGGCCUUCGGGUGGUAAACCGAUUUCGCCUGAGACGAAGCGUGAGUGACGGUAAUGGGUAAAGAAGCACCGGCUAACUACGUG